rnacentral:sRNA from 1 species
CGCGCACGUUGGAAUCGAAGAGAGCUCUGUUGUUGCAAUGUUCAGCCCACAAGAGCUUACAGGUGAAGGAAUGGGACAAGACCCAUCUUUAUGCAAAGCCAGCGUUACAGUAAUGUUCCAGCAUCUCAUAAUCUAUCCUGAGGAAUUCAGCUGCCUCCCAGGGUGAAUACAGGUAUUUCUGAUGACAGUCUGCCUCUAUCUUACAGAGCAGCUUGUUGCUAUAUACCAUUGAAAAGCCUUCAGAGCUAAGAGGUACUACUAACCAAUAACCUGCUUGGCUCAAAGGGCCAGCACCUUCUCUCUAAAGCCCAAGAGGAGUUUGAGGAAAACUAGGUGUCUCUGUUCACUCCAGGCUGAAGUUACAGUCCCAGAGCCUGUAAAGGUGAACCCACUGGGACUGGCUGGGGGAGAAGAGGAAGAUUUGUUCCAGAAGGAACUGUCUGAGGGAUGAUAAAGAUUUCUAUACAGAGAAAGGGAGUAAUCAUCACUUGUUGAAAACAUUAGUUUUAUUUUUUCCAGGUUUGAGGAAAGGUGUAUAAAAAAUGGUAGGUAUCUGUUUAAAUAUUUAACUGGUUUUAUAAUAGCAACCUUUUGCUUCUAGGUUGCA